AGAUUUUGAUCCUGGCUCAGGAUUGAACGCUGGCGGCAGGCCUAACACAUGCAAGUCGAACGGUAACAGGAAGAAGCUUGCUCCUUUGCUGACGAGUGACGGACGGGUGAGUAAUGUCUGGGAAACUGCCUGAUGGAGGGGGAUAACUACUGGAAACGGUAGCUAAUACCGCAUAACGUCGCAAGACCAAAGAGGGGGACCUUCGGGCCUCUUGCCAUCGGAUGUGCCCAGAUGGGAUUAGCUUGUUGGUGGGGUAACGGCUCACCAAGGCGACGAUCCCUAGCUGGUCUGAGAGGAUGACCAGCCACACUGGAACUGAGACACGGUCCAGACUCCUACAGGAGGCAGCAGUGGGGAAUAUUGCACAAUGGGCGCAAGCCUGAUGCAGCCAUGCCGCGUGUAUGAAGAAGGCCUUCGGGUUGUAAAGUACUUUCAGCGGGGAGGAAGGGAGUAAAGUUAAUACCUUUGCUCAUUGACGUUACCCGCAGAAGAAGCACCGGCUAACUCCGUGCCAGCAGCCGCGGUAAUACGGAGGGUGCAAGCGUUAAUCGGAAUUACUGGGCGUAAAGCGCACGCAGGCGGUUUGUUAAGUCAGAUGUGAAAUCCCCGGGCUCAACCUGGGAACUGCAUCUGAUACUGGCAAGCUUGAGUCUCGUAGAGGGGGGUAGAAUUCCAGGUGUAGCGGUGAAAUGCGUAGAGAUCUGAAGGAAUACCGGUGGCGAAGGCGGCCCCCUGGACGAAGACUGACGCUCAGGUGCGAAAGCGUGGGGAGCAAACAGGAUUAGAUACCCUGGUAGUCCACGCCGUAAACGAUGUCGACUUGGAGGUUGUGCCCUUGAGGCGUGGCUUCCGGAGCUAACGCGUUAAGUCGACCGCCUGGGGAGUACGGCCGCAAGGUUAAAACUCAAAUGAAUUGACGGGGGCCCGCACAAGCGGUGGAGCAUGUGGUUUAAUUCGAUGCAACGCGAAGAACCUUACCUGGUCUUGACAUCCACGGAAGUUUUCAGAGAUGAGAAUGUGCCUUCGGGAACCGUGAGACAGGUGCUGCAUGGCUGUCGUCAGCUCGUGUUGUGAAAUGUUGGGUUAAGUCCCGCAACGAGCGCAACCCUUAUCCUUUGUUGCCAGCGGUCCGGCCGGGAACUCAAAGGAGACUGCCAGUGAUAAACUGGAGGAAGGUGGGGAUGACGUCAAGUCAUCAUGGCCCUUACGACCAGGGCUACACACGUGCUACAAUGGCGCAUACAAAGAGAAGCGACCUCGCGAGAGCAAGCGGACCUCAUAAAGUGCGUCGUAGUCCGGAUUGGAGUCUGCAACUCGACUCCAUGAAGUCGGAAUCGCUAGUAAUCGUGGAUCAGAAUGCCACGGUGAAUACGUUCCCGGGCCUUGUACACACCGCCCGUCACACCAUGGGAGUGGGUUGCAAAAGAAGUAGGUAGCUUAACCUUCGGGAGGGCGCUUACCACUUUGUGAUUCAUGACUGGGGUGAAGU
rnacentral:rRNA from 1 species